rnacentral:piRNA from 1 species
UAAGGGGUAAGACAUACAGGGAGGAAC